CGUAGGCGCAAGCGUUGUCCGGAAUUAUUGGGCGUAAAGAGCUCGUAGGCGGUCUGUCGCGUCUGGUGUGAAAUCCCGAGGCUCAACCUCGGGCUUGCAUCGGGUACGGGCAGACUAGAGUGCGGUAGGGGAGACUGGAAUUCCUGGUGUAGCGGUGGAAUGCGCAGAUAUCAGGAGGAACACCGAUGGCGAAGGCAGGUCUCUGGGCCGCAACUGACGCUGAGGAGCGAAAGCAUGGGAGCGAACAGGAUU
rnacentral:rRNA from 1 species